AUGUUUGUUGAAACUCGAAAAGGAAAUAAAGGAAAGGAACUGGAUGUAGAAACUGGAAAAGUAAUUUCCCAACUUCAAGAAAUGGUUGAAAAGGAGGAAAGUGAUACAGAAGCUUUUAAAGUUUUUUUUGGAAAGGAGUGUCCAGGCAGGUUCCCCAAAGGAUAUAAGACCGCAAAUGCAUUCAUCUACAUCAACUCAUGCUCCAUGUCAUGGAAAGCAAUGUAUCAAUGA